GUUGCCUGCAUAUAAACAUGCAGCAGCUCAUUCUCCAGCACCAUGUCUGUCUGCACACCGCCAUGCCCAUAAUGGACUGAACCUCAGACACUCGCCACCUCCUGCCGUGCGUGCGUCAGCCCCGCUGAGGUCACCCGCUGCCCUGCCUUGGCUACGCGGGCACAGAUGACUCAGCGGCGGGCGAACAGCCCUGCGUGGUUACGGCUUCGGGGUCCUUCUCGCCUUGGAGGUGGGGUGACUUGGAACCGCAGUCUCUUCUGUUUCAGGGUUAGGCUGACAUCCCUGCCGGCAGAAAUAGCAGAGACCAAGCAUGGAGGCCCAGGACCAAGUUUCUUGUUCCAUUUGCCUAACAAGGCAGCCUGCUAGGAGGAAGUAAGGAAGUACCAGGUGGGUGGAGCACGUGCUGGAGGACCGCGGUACCAAGCACAGAGGUGACCAGGAGUCCAAGGAGCAUCCCAAGUGGCCGCAGGCAGAGGGGACUGACGGGCUGCACAGCACUCAUGGGAGGGCUUCUGGGUGGGGGCGGCCUGAAUUAAACCUAAGUCCUCACCUCUUUGAACUGUUUUUUUUUUUUCACCCAUGAAACGACCAGAAUAUGAAAUAAGACGCAGCAAGGUCACAAUAAAAACUGAACAAAGCCAGCACAGGGAAAAAAAUUCCUAUCAUUUCUCUAGCCUGAGUCUCUCUCUCCGACGGGAGAACACGCCCACUCCUGGGCGACCUGCAGUCGCUGCCCCUGGCCUGCAGGCUCGGGGAAGGCAGGCGCUGCAGCCCGGCUCCCAGAGGGGUGGGGCCGCCAACUUCCGCAGCAGUCGGGACGGCCGGGACCUGACCUUGGGUGAGGCCUCACACUGCCCGGCCGCAAAGCAGGACCAUCCCAGCGCGCACACACAGCGCCU
rnacentral:lncRNA from 1 species